ACUAAAGGAUAAAGGCUCUGUUUAAUACCAUAUUCAUGCAAAAGAAUUUAGAAGAAAAUCAGCAUGACUUUGAGGGGCUUUAACCCUUCUGCAACUGCUUUCUUCCUGUCAAUUUUCCAAUCUUCAUGGAGAUAACAAUGCUCACUCAUAUACAGUUCACCAGAUGUGCCACAGGUUUUACGACCAAGGAAUAUUUGUGUGGAUUAUGAGAUCAUUCACCUGGCAGCUGCAAACUAGAAGAAUUAUGACUUACUAUUCAUUAUGUGCUUUUUAAAAGAUGGUGUUAAAUUGAAAAAUAAAAAUAUAUGUAGUAUAAAAAUAUAUAAAGUAAAAAAUAGGCAUAGAUUAAUGCUUAUCUGGAGUUAUGCCCUCGAGACGAAAGAGCACCUCUAUUUUUCUGGCCUAUCAACGGCCUCUUCUGUGGAAAAAGAAUCAAUUGACACCUUGAUCUAUUGGUAGCUUCUUAUCAUAUGCC